rnacentral:rRNA from 1 species
CAGCCGCGGUAGACGUAGGACACAAGCGUUAUCCGGAUUUCUGGGCGUAAAGCGUCUGCAGGCGGACAGGUAAGUUGGGCGUGAAAGCUCCGGGCCCAACCCGGAGAGGUCGUUCAAUACUGCGUGUCUAGAGGGUGUCAGAGGGGAGUGGAAUUUCCGGAGUAGCGGUAAAAUGCGCAGAGAUCGGAAAGAACACCAAUGGCGAAGGCAGCUCCCUGGGGCAACCCUGACGCUAAGAGACGAAAGCUAGGGGGGCGAACAGGAUUAGAGACCCUGGUAGUCCUAGCCCUAAACGAUGGAUGCUGGAUGUGGGGCCAUAGCGCUCCGUGUCGAAGCGAACGCGUUAAGCAUCCCGCCUGGGGACUACGGCCGCAAGGUUAAAACUCAAACGAAUUGACGGGACCCCGCACAAGCAGCGGAGCGUGUGGUUUAAUUCGAUGCUACACGAAGAACCUUACCUGGGUUUGACAUCUAGGUGGUAGUGAAGCGAAAGCGGAGCGACCCUUCGGGGAGCCUAGACAGGUGCUGCAUGGCUGUCGUCAGCUCGUGCCGUGAGGUGUCGGGUUAAGUCCCGUAACGAGCGCAACCCUUGCCCUCCGUUAUACGUGUCAGAGGGGACUGCCGGCGGUAAGCCGGAGGAAGGUGGGGAUGACGUCAAGUCAGCAUGGCCUUUAUAUCCAGGGCUACACACACGCUACAAUGGCCAGUACAAAGGGCAGCGAAGCCGCGAGGUGGAGCGAAUCCCAGCAAAGCUGGUCGUAGUUCGGAUUGCAGGCUGCAACCCGCCUGCAUGAAGCUGGAGUUGCUAGUAACCGCGCGUCAGCCAUAGUGC